rnacentral:rRNA from 1 species
GUGGGGAAUCUUCCGCAAUGGGCGCAAGCCUGACGGAGCAACGCCGCGUGAGUGAAGAAGGUUUUCGGAUCGUAAAGCUCUGUUGAGAGGGACGAGAGGCAAGGCUAGGAAAUGAGCUUUGUAGGACGGUACCUUUCGAGGAAGCCACGGCUAACUACGUGCCAGCAGCCGCGGUAAUACGUAGGUGGCGAGCGUUGUCCGGAAUUAUUGGGCGUAAAGGGAGCGCAGGUGGGAAAGUAAGUCAGUCUUAAAAGUGCGGGGCUCAACCCCGUGAGGGGAUUGAAACUACUUUUCUUGAGUGCAGGAGAGGAAAGCGGAAUUCCUAGUGUAGCGGUGAAAUGCGUAGAUAUUAGGAGGAACACCAGUGGCGAAGGCGGCUUUCUGGACUGUAACUGACACUGAGGCUCGAAAGCCAGGGGAGCGAACGGGAUUAGAAACCCGAGUAGUCC